rnacentral:rRNA from 1 species
CACGUAGGGUGCGAGCGUUGUCCGGAAUUAUUGGGCGUAAAGAGCUCGUAGGCGGUGUGUCGCGUCGGCCGUGAAAACCUGCAGCUUAACUGUGGGCGUGCGGUCGAUACGGGCAUCACUGGAGUUCGGCAGGGGAGACUGGAAUUCCUGGUGUAGCGGUGAAAUGCGCAGAUAUCAGGAGGAACACCGGUGGCGAAGGCGGGGUCUC